rnacentral:tRNA from 1 species
GGCCGAAUAGCUCAGCCCGGUAGAGCAGCGCCCUGAAAAGGCGUGUGUCCCAAGUUCAAAUCUUGGUUCGGCCACCA